UGAACUGAGAAGGUUUAUAGUCCUGUGAGUUCAACACUGCAGGACUCAGAUCUGUCAGUCAACACAGCAGAAAGCACAACCACCAUGACUCUCAUCACCAUCCUCAUCUGGACGCUGGCCUGCUGCUGUUUUACAGGAUGCAGCGGUCAGGUGACUGUGACUCAACCUCCAGUAGUGACAUUUACUCCAGGAUCCACUGUCACUCUGACCUGUAAAACCAGCCAGGCUGUUUAUAGAUAUAGUGAUGGAGAUGAUGCUAUGUACUGGUAUCAACAGAAAUCUGGACAGACUCCAAAACUGCUAAUAAAAUUUGCAAGCACACUUGAAUCAGGAACACCAGCUCGGUUUAGUGGCAGUGGAAGCAGCUCUGACUUUUCUUUGACCAUCAGUGGAGUUCAGGCCGAAGAUGCAGCAGUUUACUACUGUCAGAGUUACCACGAUAUAAACAAUGCUGAUGUGUUCACACAGUGAUUUGUAGUCGUACAAAAACCUCCCUCAGUCAGACUGCAGAGACACUGAGCUGUUACAGCAGGAACCGACUGCAGCUGCUGAAGAGGAAGAGACUCUGACACAGACCACUGAACACAGAGCUGACAGUAACCUCACCAAGCACAAACUGUACCAAUCACAAACAACAUGUACACAUG